UACGGAGGAUGCGAGCGUUAUCCGGAUUUAUUGGGUUUAAAGGGUGCGCAGGCGGCGAGUUAAGUCAGCGGUAAAAUUUCGGGGCUCAACCCCGACAAGCCGUUGAAACUGGCUUGCUAGAGUGGGCGAGAAGUAUGCGGAAUGCGUGGUGUAGCGGUGAAAUGCAUAGAUAUCACGAAGAACUCCGAUUGCGAAGGCAGCUUACCAGUCUGCGACUGACGCUCAGGCACGAAAGUGUGGGUAUCGAACAGG
rnacentral:rRNA from 1 species